rnacentral:rRNA from 1 species
AGAGUUUGAUCCUGGCUCAGAUGAACGCUGGCGGUAUGCUUAAUACAUGCAAGUCGAACGAAGGCUCUUAACCUUAGUGGCGGACGGGUGAGUAACACGUGAGAAUCUGCCCUUAGGAGGAGGAUAACAGCUGGAAACGGUUGCUAAUACUCCAUAUGCCGAGAGGUGAAAGGAUUUAUCUACCUAAGGAGGAGCUCGCGUCUGAUUAGCUAGUUGGUAGGGUAAUGGCCUACCAAGGCGACGAUCAGUAGCUGGUUUGAGAGGAUGAUCAGACACACUGGGACUGAGACACGGCCCACACUCCUACGGGAGGCAGCAGUAGGGAAUUUUCCGCAAUGGGCGAAAGCCUGACGGAGCAAUACCGCGUGAGGGAUGACGGCCUGUGGGUUGUAAACCUCUUUUCUCAAGGAAGAAGUUCUGACGGUACUUGAGGAAUAAGCAUCGGCUAACUCUGUGCCAGCAGCCGCGGUAAUACAGAGGAUGCAAGCGUUAUCCGGAAU